AGAGUGAACGCUGGCGGCAGGCCUAACACAUGCAAGUCGAACGGCAGCACGAGAGAGCUUGCUCUCUUGGUGGCGAGUGGCGGACGGGUGAGGAAUACGUCGGAAUCUGCCUUUUUGUGGGGGAUAACGUAGGGAAACUUACGCUAAUACCGCAUACGACCUACGGGUGAAAGCGGAGGACCUUCGGGCUUCGCGCAGAAAGAUGAGCCGACGUCGGAUUAGCUAGUUGGAGGGUAUGGCCCACCAAGGCGACGAUCCGUAGCUGGUCUGAGAGGAUGAUCAGCCACACUGGGACUGAGACACGGCCCAGACUCCUACGGGAGCAGCAGGUGGGAAUAGUUAGGACAAGUGGGCGCAAGCCUGGACUCCAGCCAGUGCCGCGUGUGUGAAGAGUCCGUUGGUUAGUAGGU
rnacentral:rRNA from 1 species